GCUUAGCCAUAAACUGACAGUGAAUUACAAUUCUGUCCGCCAGGGAACUACAAGCGCCAGCUUAAAACCCAAAGGACUUGGCGGUGCCUCAGACCCACCUAGAGGAGCCUGUUCUGUAACCGAUAACCCCCGUUAAACCUCACCCCUCCUUGUUUUUUCCGCCUAUAUACCGCCGUCGUCAGCAUACCCUGUGAAGGAAACAUAGUAUGCAAAGUGGGCACUCCCCAAAACGUCAGGUCGAGGUGUAGCGAAUGGAGAGGGAAGAAAUGGGCUACAUUCUCUAAUUUAGAGCACUACGAAAGGGACUGUGAAACCAGCCCCCGAAGGUGGAUUUAGCAGUAAAUAAAAGCUAGAGUAUUUUGUUGAAAUUGGCUCUGAAGCGCGC
rnacentral:rRNA from 1 species